rnacentral:rRNA from 1 species
CCCGCACAAGCGGUGGAUGAUGCGGAUUAAUUCGAUGCAACGCGAAGAACCUUACUACCCUUGACAUGUCCGGAACUUGCCAGAGAUGGCUUGGUGCCCGAAAGGGAAUCGGAACACAGGUGCUGCAUGGCUGUCGUCAGCUCGUGUCGUGAGAUGUUGGGUUAAGUCCCGCAACGAGCGCAACCCUUAUCAUUAGUUGCUACGCAAGGGCACUCUAAUGAGACUGCCGGUGACAAACCGGAGGAAGUGGGGAUGACGUCAAGUCCUCAUGGCCCUUAUGGGUAGGGCUUCACACGUCAUACAAUGGUCGGUACAGAGGGUUGCCAAGCCGCGAGGCGGAGCCAAUCCCACAAAGCCGAUCGUAGUCCGGAUUGUUCUCUGCAACUCGAGAGCAUGAAGUCGGAAUCGCUAGUAAUCGCAGGUCAGCAUACUGCGGUGAAUACGUUCCCGGGUCUU